UGCCCGCCGCGGCCACUCUUAAAAGCCGGGGCAGCGCCGGGCGUCGGGGCCGAGCCGGAGCGGGCGAGGGGCGAGGAGCGACUAGGCUGUCACCGCGCUGCGCGCAUCCCGGGGGCUUCCCAGCCGCCGCAUAGGCAGUGGCUCCGCCCGCAUCCAGCCCCGAGCACGUUUCCACGAGUCGGGCCGCGCCCCCUGGUCCCGCUUUGUUCCGAGGGGGUCCGCUCCGCCUGAAAGCCGCGCGCAGUUGGCGAAGAUGCCCUUGGAACUGACCCAGAGCCGGGUGCAGAAGAUCUGGAUCCCCGUGGACCACCGGCCCUCGCUGCCCAGAUCCUGUGGGCCCAAGCUGACCAACUCACCUACGGUCAUCGUCAUGGUGGGCCUUCCGGCACGUGGCAAGACCUACAUCUCCAAGAAACUUACGCGCUACCUCAACUGGAUUGGGGUCCCCACGAAAGUAUUCAACGUGGGCGAGUACCGCCGUGAGGCUGUCAGACACUUCAGCUCCUACGACUUCUUCCGGCCUGACAACGAGGAGGCCAUGAGAGUGCGCAAGCAGUGUGCUCUCGCUGCGCUGAGGGACGUGAGGGCCUACCUGACGCAGGAGGGAGGCCAGAUCGCAGUGUUUGAUGCCACCAAUACAACCAGGGACAGGAGACAAAUGAUCCUUCACUUUGCCAAAGAAAAUGACUUCAAGGUGUUCUUCAUUGAGUCUGUGUGUGACGACCCCACCGUGGUGGCCUCCAACAUCAUGGAAGUGAAGCUGUCCAGCCCGGAUUACCGGGACUGCAACUCAGCAGAGGCCAUGGACGACUUCAUGAAGAGGAUCAGCUGCUACGAGGCCAGCUACCAACCCCUAGACCCCGACAAGCACGACAGGGAACUAUCCUUCAUCAAGGUGAUUGAUGUCGGCCGGCGGUUCCUAGUGAACCGGGUCCAGGAUCACAUCCAGAGCCGCAUCGUGUACUACCUGAUGAACAUCCACGUGCAGCCGCGCACCAUCUACCUGUGCCGGCACGGCGAGAGUGAGCACAACCUCCAGGGCAAGAUUGGGGGAGACUCGGGCCUGUCCAGCAGGGGCCGGAAGUUUGCUGGCGCACUGAGCAAGUUUGUGGAGGAGCAGAACUUGAAGGACCUCAAGGUGUGGACGAGCCAGCUGAAGAGCACCAUCCAGACGGCGGAGGCCCUGCAGCUGCCCUACGAGCAGUGGAAGGCGCUCAACGAGAUCGACGCGGGCGUCUGCGAGGAGAUGACCUAUGAGGAGAUCCAGGCCACGUACCCCGAGGAGUACGCGCUGCGGGAGCAGGACAAGUACUACUACCGCUACCCCACGGGCGAGUCCUACCAGGACCUGGUGCAGCGGCUGGAGCCCGUCAUCAUGGAGCUCGAGCGGCGGGAGAAUGUGCUGGUCAUCUGCCACCAGGCCGUGCUGCGCUGCCUCCUGGCCUACUUCCUGGACAAGAGUGCAGAGGAGAUGCCUUUCCUGAAGUGUCCCCUUCACACCGUCCUCAAGCUGACGCCCGUUGCCUAUGGCUGCCGUGUCGAGUCCGUCUACCUGAACGUGGGGUCGGUGAGCACCCACAGGGACAGGCCUGAGGACGCAAAGAAGGGGCCUAACCCGCUGAUGAGGCGCAAUAGUGUCACCCCGCUAGCCAGCCCCGAGCCCACCAAAAAGCCUCGCAUCGACAGCAUGGGGGAGCCCUCGGCUUCUGCCUCGGCUGCCCUGCCCGCCUGCCUGUCCCCGGAGGCACCCACGCAGCUGCCUGGCCACGUGCGUUCACCCCGCGCUCACCCCACGCUCACCCUUCCUCCCUCUGCGGUUCUCUCGGGAGGGCAGCAGCGGAGCCAGCAUUCCCCAGAGGGUCUUCCUGGCUCAGGGUGCCCCUGUGGCCCUGGGUGCGGGGGGCAGAGAGAGCAGAGCCUCAUCAGCCACCUUCUAGUGCAGGCUCUCCGAAACAGUUUAGGGCAGGCUUCUAGACCUUUCCGGAAGGUUCCAUUCAGCUCUGGUUGUGGUACCUGUGUGGCCCAAGGUCGUCUUCUUGGUUCCAGCUCCACACUGAUGCUUCCUUGGUCUCUUCUUGUGCCACUGACUCUGUGUUGUUCAGGUUAGGACUGUUGCGUUCAGACCCACGUGGAAGUAGCUGUUUUCUCUGGUUCUGCUGCAGCAGAUGGGAAGCAUGGGUGGACUCCCCUCAGGGCUCCCCUCAGGACUCCCCUCAGGGCUCCCCUCAGGCCCCUCUGGGCUCCCCUCAGGGCUCUCUUCAGGAAUUCCCUCAAGACUCCCCCAAAGGCUCCCAUAAGGCCUCCCCUCAAGGCUCCUCAGGACACCCCUUGGGGCUCCCCUCAGGACUCCCCCCUCAGGACUCCCCUCAGGCCUCCCCCCAGUGCUCCCCUCAGGACUUCCCUCAGGACUCCCCCAAGGGCUCCCCUAAGGGCUCCCCUCAGGGUUCCCCUCAGGGCUCCCCUCAAGGCUCCUCAGGGCUCCCCUCAGGGCUCCUCAGGGCUCCCCUCAGGGCUCCUCAGGGCUCCCCUCAGGGCUCCCCUCAGGGCUCCUCAGGGCUCCCCUCAGGGCUCCCCUCAGGGCUCCUCAGGGCUCCCCUCAGGGCUCCUCAGGGCUCCUCUCAGGACACUCUCAUUGCUUGCUCUGACAUGAACAGAGUGGCUGUAGGCCACUGGGCCUGGCAUCUGUGUUCAGAACUUGCUUUCCCACGAAGGCAGCCAGGCCUGGGCACAGACAGGCACAGUGUCUGGGCGUUGCCCUGGGAACCCUGUGUAUGGGGUGCAGUGGGGCCGUGGGGCCUCGGACCACUCUGCUGCUCUGCUGCCCUGUCCAUCUCCGCCUCCGUCUGUGACUUGGGGACGGGCACCCCUGCAGGGGCAGUGGAGGGGUGUUGGGGUGGGACUGAAUGUCGCCCCCCAGCCCCCUGUGUGAGGGGCCGUGUUCCGGCUAUCUGGGGUCACCCCGUGGCCUCCGACUCGUCCGUCUGUCUUUCACCACAAGACAGUAGGGCUCCGUCUGGGCUCAGGACGGGGAGCAGGAGCCCGGGCGUGUGCGGGCAGGGGUCUGCGGGGCCUGGUGCCGUCCCGUGGCUGCGCUCACUGUCUCUCGCUUCUCUCUGCAGCCUUUGCUAGGGAAGGCCUGCCUGUAAGUACCCAGCGCCCCCCGCCCGCGGCCCCGCUCCUGACGUGCUGUCUUGGGGCUCAGGGCCGUGGGGCCCGCCGCCUCCCUCGCCAAGACAGUGGCUGGUGGCCUGCUGGGCGUGUGCCCGCUGCCACUGCCCUUGGUGCCGUCCCCCCGCACUGUCAGUCUCUGCCUUGCUGCUGGUCCCUCCCAGGGGGCCGCUGGGUCUCAGCCGUCCCCGCCCCACACUCGUCUGGCCCUGCAGCCCGUCCCUCGCUGAGGGCUGGGUCAGCCGUGCUGGUCAGCCCUGGUCCCCUACUCCAGCUGGGCUGAUCCUACCUGUCCCCUGCUCCGGGGGCCCAAGCCCAGCAGGUCCCCAGCCUCUGUGCCGGGUUUCCAGGGAGCCGAGCACCUGGGAGAGGGCAACUCCUGCUGCCCUGGGGACUCGGGGCUGGCCCUGCCCCCUGCCCAUCCCCUGCACUGCCCUGGGGACAUGACGCUGGGGUGGAGGAGUCGUGCUCUCAUGGAUGCCAGGGGCUCGCCAUUUCCCAGGGAGCAGGCCUGCGAGUCUGUGUUCAGUCCUCCCAGACAGUCCUCCCCUAUGGACACAGCCCUCCCCUACACAGUCCUCCCCAGGGACACAGUCCUCCCUAUGGGGACAGUCCUCCCCAGGGACACAGUCCUCCCUCUGGACACAGUCCUCCCUACAGGGACAGUCCUCCCCAGGGACACAGUCCUCCCUCUGGACACAGUCCUCCCUACAGGGACAGUCCUCCCCAGGGACACAGUCCUCCCUAUGGACAGUCCUCCCUCUGGACACAGUCCUCUACAGGGACAGUCCUCCCUACGGGGACAGUCCUCCCCAGGGACACAGUCCUCCCUAUGGGCACAGUCCUCCCCAGGGACACAGUCCUCCCUAUGGACAGUCCUCCCUCUGGACACAGUCCUCCCUAUGGACACAGUCCUCCCUCUGGACACAGUCCUCCCUACAGGGACAGUCCUCCCCAGGGACACAGUCCUCCCUAUGGACAGUCCUCCCUCUGAACACAGUCCUCCCUAUGGACAGUCCUCCCUCUGGACACAGUCCUCCCUAUGGACAGUCCUUCCUGGGACACAGUCCUCCCUACAGGGACAGUCCUUCCUGGGACACAGUCCUCCCCAGGGACACAGUCCUCCCUACGGGGACAGUCCUCCCUAUGAACACAAUCCUCCCCAGGGACACAGUCCUCCCCCAGGGACACAGUCGUCUAUGGACAGUCCUCCCUGUGGACAGUCCUCCCUAUGGACACAGUCCUCUAUGUCACAGUCCUCCCUAUGGACACAGUCCUUCCUGGGACACAGUCCCCUCCCCAGGGACGCAGUCUCCCCCCAGGGACACAGUCCCCUAUGGACAGUCCUCCCUGGGCCCAGUCCUCCCUGGGACAGCCCCAGCCCCGCACCCCGAGCCUUGCGUCCCGCGCGCUGUGAGCACUAAAGCUGUUCUGUUUCUCUUUCCCUCCGCUUCCGCCUCCCCACCCUGCGCAAGGCGAACUGUCUGUCACUUUUUCUCAAAGUUCUCUCCUUACUGAGCGGGACAGAACCUGCAGGAUGUCCAGAGCAGUGGCCCUUCCUGGCCCCACUGAGUGGCCACCGCCCAGCCCAGCCCGUCUCUGCAGCUUCGCUACAGCCCCUCCGCCCCACGCCCACCCUUGCUCCUGAGUGGGGGGCUGCCUAGAAGACCACCCUGCAGCCUGCAAGAGCCCUGCUGGCAGCAGCGGUGCCCGCCUGUGCCCGGGACAGCUGCCGGCAGCGCCCUCCCGUCUCCAGCGUGGGCUGCCUUCCUGCCCCUCCGACGGUGGGCGGAGUCCGAUCCGAGUGCUCUGGGGUUUGCACUGGACUCUGGGAGCGGCCUGGGGGCGGAGGGCCAGGUGUCCCCGCGCCGGCCAUCACCACGGUCUGCCGUGUCCGCUGUGCCUGGCCCCGCGCUCGGUGGUUGCUUUUGCACAUUCUUAGGGUAGGACGUGUGGCCAGAAGGGCUGCGCCUGUGAUGAACCAUGUGCAGGGCCGAGACGGCGGCCCAGUGUCGGGGCCCACCGAGGGGCAGGCCAGGCUCCCGCUUCUAGAGUCUGUCGCCCCAGCCCUCGUGGCUCUCCGCCUCCUGCAGGGCCGGGGGUCCCCGGGGUCCCUGCCUUCAUCAUGUGGCCUGUGGUUCUGCGACCCUGUCGUCCUGCUCUGGGACUCAGCAGCUGGAGUGAGUGACCCCUGUGGGGCCUCCCCAGCCCCCCUCACCACCUGCUGCAUUACUGGGCAGACACGAACCGAGCCCUGGCCUGGGGGUCGGGGGCACUGUUGGGGAAGCCCCUCUCCGUGGGGUCGGCGGAAAGGGGGCAUUCUCCAGACACCGCCCGUUUGCAGCGUCUGUGCCAACCCUUAGCCCAUCCCACCCUGUCCCACCAAGGGGCUGCCAGCAGUGUCCUUCCUGUGCCCCCAGCUCUGGUCGCCCCUCUGUCCCUCCGGAGUGUCAUCUCUCAUGCACAUGUGUGUCAGUGUGUAUCUGUGUGUGCACUCGUAUGUGUUCAUGCAUGUGUUAGUGUGAGCACACGUCAGUGAAUGUGUUGGUAUGAGUGCAUAGGUGAGCGCAAAUGCACAUCUGCAUACAUGUAUGAGGACAUGUAUUAUUGUACACGUGCCAGAAUGCACAUGCCUGUGCAUCUAGGCACACGUGUGAGUGCAAGUCUACACGCGUGAUUGUGUGUUCAUGUGCACAGUGUAAGUGUGUUUGUAUACACGCGUGAGCGUAAGUGUUUAUGUGCAUAUAUGAGUGUGCCUGUGUGCACACAUGAGCAUAAGUGUUCAUGUGCACAUGCAUGAGUAUCUGCAUACACGUGUGAGUGUAAGUGUACGUGUGCACAUGUGUCUGAGCACUGUGGUUCAGUGUGUGUCUGGGUGUGUGUGCCCCUCGUGGUCAGCUGGCUAGUUUGCAGUGGCCGGAGGCUGCAGCCCUGCUCGUCCUUGGACCUCCCCCCUCCCCGCCCCCUCCUGACACUAAGGGGCUCAGCACGGCCCCUUGGUUUGGUGAGGCCUGGGUAACUGCAGCUUGAGUGAGGGGCCCUAGCGGGGACCUUCCCCAGUCAGAACCUGACGGGGGCGUGGCUGUGGCCACUGACUACUGACCUCUCCCUCGGGACUGCGGGACCCGCGACAGCCUCUGGCCUCCUGGUCGGUGCCUCGCAGGGUUGCCCUCCUCACUGACCGCACCCACUCCCUUUGGGGGCAGGAACAACUGUCGAACUGCACCAAGGACACUUGCAUUUGUAAAACUUGAAAUUUAUUUUUAUAUUACUUUGAUAGCAGAUGUGCUAUUUAUUUAUUUAAGAUGUACACGUGGGGAGCAGUGCGGAUGGCCCAAGGCUGCCUUGUGUCUCCCUGUGGGUCCAAAUUCAUUGUCUGGGAACAAACGGCCGCCUUCCAGGGGGGCUGAGAGACGUUGUUCUGCAGUUGCCAGAUCAAUAAAAUGCCUGGUUGAAACUCUGA